AUCAGUAGGGGUUCUGAGAGGAAGGUCCCCCACAUUGGAACUGAGACACGGUCCAAACUCCUACGGGAGGCAGCAGUGAGGAAUAUUGGUCAAUGGGCGGAAGCCUGAACCAGCCAAGUAGCGUGCAGGAUGACGGCCCUAUGGGUUGUAAACUGCUUUUGAAGGGGAGUAAAGUGAGUGACUUGUCAUUCAUUGCAAAUACCCUUGGAAUAAGGACCGGCUAAUUCCGUGCCAGCAGCCGCGGUAAUACGGAAGGUCCGGGCGUUAUCCGGAUUUAUUGGGUUUAAAGGGAGCGUAGGCUGCCCGGCAAGCGUGCUGUGAAAUACAGUGGCCCAACCACUGGACUGCAGCGCGAACUGUCGGGCUUGAGGGCGCACGACGCAGGCGGAAUUUGUGGUGUAGCGGUGAAAUGCUUAGAUAUCACGAAGAACCCCGAUUGCGAAGGCAGCUUGCGGGAGCGCGACUGACGCUGAAGCUCGAAAGUGCGGGUAUCAACAGGAUUAGAUACCCUGGUAGU
rnacentral:rRNA from 1 species